UCCGCCCCCGGCAAUUUUCCCCUUCUCCCGGGGAAGAGGCUCCAUCUCCCAGUUUAGACGCCCACUGAUCCACAUGCUGAAACCCGAACGACGGUCCGUUAGCAUUCCAAAUUUAGGAGGAAAACAAACCAAAGAUAGCAUCACUCCUCGACCUUGAAAGAACAACCUCCCCAUCUCUCCUUGCUUCGGGGGAUAUACCGAUCGCCGACCGCACCGAUCUUUCUUCUCACGAAGAUCAUAGAAGAUAAUUGCCGGCAACCCUGCUCCGGGACCUUCCGCCUUCUCCCAGCAGCGGGGGAACCCAUCUGCUGUUCU
rnacentral:lncRNA from 1 species